UUUUAUGGAGAGUUUGAUCCUGGCUCAGGAUGAACGCUGGCGGCGUGCCUAAUACAUGCAAGUCGAGCGAACGGACGAGAAGCUUGCUUCUCUGAUGUUAGCGGCGGACGGGUGAGUAACACGUGGAUAACCUACCUAUAAGACUGGGAUAAC
rnacentral:rRNA from 1 species